GACACCUACGGGGGGCAGCAGUAGGGAAUCUUCCACAAUGGACGAAAGUCUGAUGGAGCGACGCCGCGUGAGUGAAGAAGUAUUUCGGUAUGUAAAGCUCUAUCAGCAGGGAAGAUAAUGACGGUACCUGACUAAGAAGCCCCGGCUAACUACGUGCCAGCAGCCGCGGUAAUACGUAGGGGGCAAGCGUUAUCCGGAUUUACUGGGUGUAAAGGGUGCGUAGGUGGCAGGGCAAGUCAGAUGUGAAAGCCCGGGGCCCAACCCCGGUACUGCAUUUGAAACUGUCCGGCUGGAGUGCAGGAGAG
rnacentral:rRNA from 1 species